rnacentral:rRNA from 1 species
UGGCGACCGGCGCACGGGUGAGUAACGCGUAUGCAACUUACCUAUCAGAGGGGGAUAACCCGGCGAAAGUCGGACUAAUACCGCAUGAAGCAGGGGCCCCGCAUGGGGAUAUUUGCUAAAGAUUCAUCGCUGAUAGAUAGGCAUGCGUUCCAUUAGGCAGUUGGCGGGGUAACGGCCCACCAAACCGACGAUGGAUAGGGGUUCUGAGAGGAAGGUCCCCCACAUUGGUACUGAGACACGGACCAAACUCCUACGGGAGGCAGCAUG